rnacentral:ncRNA from 2 species
GCAUAUGGUUACUUUUCAGGUGCCCGCAAGGGAGAAUAGGGAACCGGGUGCGAAUCCCGGACGGACCCGCCACUGUGAAGGUGAGCACUUGCCAGACCACUCCUUAAUGGGGGAAGGGGCAAAGGUGUGAUGAUCCGAGUCAGGAGACCUGCCUGAAAAGUUUAUGCCGC